AGCUCUGUGGGUGUAGACACAUUGGAAUUGCAAAUCCGAAGGACGCGAGUAAUUUUGCCGGGGCUU
rnacentral:tRNA from 1 species